rnacentral:rRNA from 1 species
GUGGGGAAUCUUGCGCAAUGGGCGAAAGCCUGACGCAGCCAUGCCGCGUGAAUGAUGAAGGUCUUAGGAUUGUAAAAUUCUUUCACCGGGGACGAUAAUGACGGUACCCGGAGAAGAAGCUCCGGCUAACUUCGUGCCAGCAGCCGCGGUAAUACGAAGGGGGCUAGCGUUGCUCGGAAUUACUGGGCGUAAAGGGCGCGUAGGCGGACAGCUUAGUCAGAGGUGAAAGCCCAGGGCUCAACCUUGGAAUUGCCUUUGAUACUGGCUGUCUUGAGUUUGGGAGAGGUGAGUGGAACUCCGAGUGUAGAGGUGAAAUUCGUAGAUAUUCGGAAGAACACCAGUGGCGAAGGCGACUCACUGGCCCAAUACUGACGCUGAGGCGCGAAAGCGUGGGGAGCAAACAGGAUUAGAUACCUCAGUAGUCC